GGACUGCCAUCAAAACUUUUCAGCUAGAGUUUGAUAGAGGAAAGCAGAAUUUCUAGUGUAGAGGUGAAAUUCGUAGAUAUUAGAAAGAAUACCGAUUGCGAAGGCAGCUUUCUGGAUCAAUACUGACACUGAGGAACGAAAGCAUGGGUAGCGAAGAGGAUUAGAUACCCUCGUAGUCCAUGCCGUAAACGAUGUGUGUUAGACGUUGGAAAUUUAUUUUCAGUGUCGCAGCGAAAGCGAUAAACACACCGCCUGGGGAGUACGACCGCAAGGUUAAAACUCAAAUGAAUUGACGGGGACCCGCACAAGUAGUGGAGCAUGUGGUUUAAUUCGAAGAUACGCGCAGAACCUUACCAACACUUGACAUGUUCGUCGCGACUUUAAGAGAUUAAAGUUUUCGGUUCGGCCGGACGAAACACAGGUGCUGCAUGGCUGUCGUCAGCUCGUGUCGUGAGAUGUUGGGUUAAGUCCCGCAACGAGCGCAACCCUCACUUUUAGUUGCCAUCAUUAAGUUGGGCACUCUGAAAGAACUGCCAGUGAUAAGCUGGAGGAAGGUGGGGAUGACGUCAAGUCCUCAUGGCCCUUACGUGUUGGGCUACACACGUGCUACAAUGGUAUCUACAACAGGAAGCAAGACGGCGACGUUAAGCAAAUCCUUAAAAGAUACCUCAGUUCGGAUUGUACUCUGCAACUCGAGUACAUGAAGCUGGAAUUACUAGUAAUCGUGGAUCAGCGUGCCACGGUGAAUGCGUUCCCGGGUCUUGUACACACCGCCCGUCACACCAUGGGAGUUGGUUCUACCUUAAGGCAAGGUUUAAAACCCUUGACCACGGUAUAGUCAGCGACUGGGGUGAAGUCGUAACAAGGUAGCCGUAGGGGAACCUGCGGCUG
rnacentral:rRNA from 1 species